rnacentral:tRNA from 1 species
CCCGCCGUAGCUCAGCGGUCAGAGCGCCCGGCUGUAGUGGGACGGGGCGGCUGGAGGCCUAGCCCCUCCGGCCGACACCGGGUGGUCCGGGGUUCAAUUCCCCGCGGCGGGA